rnacentral:tRNA from 1 species
GCCCGGAUGACGAAACUGGUAGACGUACCGGACUUAAAAUUCGGAGCCGUAAGGCGUGCGGGUUCGAUUCCCGCUCCGGGCACCA